GUUAUAUGGUCAAGCGAUGAAGCGCAUACGGUGGAUGCCUAGGCAGCCAGAGGCGAUGAAAGACGUUGUAGCCUGCGAUAAGGCUCGGUGAGGUGGCAAACAACCUACGACCCGGGCAUUUCUGAAUGGGGAAACCCACCCAGCACAAGCUGGGUAUCCCACCCUGAAUUCAUAGGGGUUGGGAGGCGAACCGGGGGAACUGAAACAUCUAAGUACCCCGAGGAAAAGAAAUCAACCG
rnacentral:rRNA from 1 species